rnacentral:snRNA from 1 species
CGCGGGUGCACCGCCGACCGA